CCCUGCCAUUUGUACACACCGCCCGUCGCUCCUACCGAUUGAAUGGUCCGGUGAAGCGCUCGGACCGCGGCCUCUUGACGGUUCGCUGUCGAUUGGCUGUGGGAAGUUCGUUAAACCUUAUCAUUUAG
rnacentral:rRNA from 1 species